CCGCUCAGUCCCCUGUUCGAGGUUACCAUCGGUGGCUUUGUAAUUACUGUUCUUUUCCUCACAAAACAAAUGUGAGCAUCAUGUUUACAUCGCAUCUCUGCAGCGUAGUUGGCUUGACAAAGAUGAGCAGGUGUCUCUGGUCUCAGUUUCAUAAGCACUUAUUUAAUCAGGUUUUCAAUUGUGCAGCAAGGUGCUCAAAGUAAUAGUCUAUAAAUAUAUUUAAUAGAAACUUGAGUUUGACAUUCAUGGGCGUAAAGACAUGUAUUUUUUUUUUAAAGAAAUAAGUAUUGUGUAACACUAUGGCUUUGCUUCUGUAGCCCAAGUAGAGAAACUUCUGGAACGCCAUGUAAAAAAGCAAUGAUUGAUUCUGACGCUGAUUCAUUAAAACUGGAUGAUUGGCGUUUGGUGACAUUCUGUUGCCCGCCCACCCAUCACGCUGCAAACCGUGUUUGUGGCAGCACAGGCCGCCUGGUUAGAAGAGUGAGUGCAGCAAGCUCUCUGGCUGGCACCUCUUAAUUUUCAGAAGAACUGUCCAAAAUUAGAGUAAUUUAUUUUGCUUUACAGGAGUUUGCCAUGUAUUGACUUAAAUAUUGUAUUUUGGUAAUAAAUUUUUUUUGUU
rnacentral:lncRNA from 1 species